GUGCUCCUUCGGCAGUACACAUGUUAAAAUUGGAAUGAUACAGAGAAGAUUAGCAUGGCCCCUGCACAAGGAUGACAUGCAAGUUCAUGAAGCGUUCCAUAUUUCU
rnacentral:snRNA from 1 species